UUAUCUUUUCCAUUCCAUUAUCUCUUAGCAUCGUGAAAGGGGAGGAAAACAGAUUGCCCAUCCCUCAAUUUGAGAAACUCACUCAACACCAUCUUCAAAUUACCUCCUCAUUCUGGUACGCUCAGCAAGGAGAGAGACCAGCCCGAGUUGCUGCUCUCUUGGUCCAGAAAUCUGAUCACUAUAAUUCCUCCCUCCCAUCUUUCCUCCAAGUCGUAGGCUCCAUAAGAAGAACACCAAAGCUUCUAGGCGAAUUUCCUCUUCCUUCCCCACACCCUUCUGUUCGUCAGGGAAUUACACUAGCAAGGAGUUGAGGUACUGCCUCUCCGUACAUGCACCUCACCAUUUCUCUCUGUCCCUCCAUGGGACUUCCCCUCACAUGCAGCCGAAGCCAGAACUAUUGGAGCGCUGAGAGAGUGCAGAAGCUGUUGCAUCUUUUGGUUGCUGCCCCGUGACCAUUUAAGAACCUUUGGUCACAUGUAAUAAGGUGCACGUAACACUUAUUGAGUGAGCUGAAUUUUGGUGCUGUUGAUUAUUGCUUGGACACAAGGAAGGAUCACAUACAUAACGCAACGAGCAACUGUUUGCCAUCAGAUUGAAUCUACUGUUCCUGAGGAACAUUGUCAAGACAGUAGGGAACAUUUGACCUGACAGUUCAUUUACUAACUUUUCUUCUCAUUUUCACUCUUUAUAAACAGUGAUAAAACAAUAAUUAGCACUCUAUUCUCGUGGGAACGAUAAUUUGGGCAUUAAUACUCCCUUUAUUACUUGAUGCAUGCACUUGCGCACUUGAGUUGGAACUAAGGGACGAAUCUGUGUUCUGCAAGAACAGAGGAACGUCCCCUAUCAGAACUUAUAUUUUUCCACCAUCAGCAAACAACCCAACACUAGUCAGUUGGAGCAAUAAAGCAGAAACAUCUUAAAAUCCAUUAAUGGAAGCAAGCUUACAUAAUAAGUUCAACUUAGAGGGAUACUUCUAUGUCCCUUUGGCCUUCUAAAAGAACUUAUCUCAUACUAAGGAGCAUAAUUAUAGAAAUUCCUAAUUACAAACUAAGAGAAAAACAAAAGAAAUUAAGGGAAGAAUACAGGAAAAUAGAAGAAACAAGAGUAGGACGUGAGGUCCUUUCCAAAAACUUUGAAUUGUGUUGUCUUCCUCUGUAUUUAUAGGUGCUCUAUCCUCAUUGAAAUGAUCUUGGCCGUUGAUGGGAUUCAACGGGUCAUAUUUCAUUUAGCUCCCAGAUGGGCUCCUUCUAGCUUAGCCCUUUUGGUAUAUUUUGAUUUGUUUAUCCUCUUCUAUUGCUGAAGUCUGAAUGUUAUUAUGUUGCAAUUGUGUUUCUCAUCCUUCUUUUUGCUUGUCUCCCGCCUUUGUUGUUGCUCCAUUGCUUUUCCAGGUAAGGACAACAAAUGUAGGUUUACUUUUUUUCAUUCAUGCCAUCUUUUGCAGCUUUUGUCCCUUUUUUUGUCUUUUUGUCCUUUUCUUUUCUUUUCUCCUCCAAAGUAGCAUCAAUGAUGAGGACAUAGGAGGUGGCGUGACCAAGACAACAAACUUGGAGGACAUACAAGGUCUUGGAGGCCCAAUGACAAGAGCAAAAGCUAAAAAGGCUACAGAGGCUCUAAAUCUCUUGGUGACCACUUUACUUGAGACAAGCCCAAGUCUAAAGGAAGAAGAGCCCAAAAUGAUACACUUAAUUCAAAUUGAAGACCUUGAAGAAUAAGCCUCAAUGGAUAUGCAUGAAGGCUUUAUUUUACUUGGCCCAAAUUCUGCACUUAAUUUUAUUUUCUUAUAUUUAGUUAAACUUUUUGUAAUAAGGCUUAUUGGGCUGGAUUAUUGGGCUGUCUAUUUUCUUUUAUGUGUAAGCACUUUUAGGUUAAACUCAAUAUGGUUGUAGCCCACUAUAUAAGGGAACACCAUGGCUUUUGAAGACAGAUUUGGAAUAUCAAG